UACGAACCCCAUAUGUCUACCCAGCUGU
rnacentral:sRNA from 1 species